CGUCAUAUGGUAUAGUGGUCUGAAUAUUGGACUAGAACUCCAGGAGACCAGGGUUAGAAUCCCUGCUCAACCA